rnacentral:rRNA from 1 species
CUAGGACUGCGGAAGACAUUA